CACGUAGGGGCCAAGCGUUGUCCGGAUUUAUUGGGCGUAAAGAGCUCGUAGGCGGUUCGACGAGUCGGGUGUGAAAACUCCGGGCUCAACCCGGAGACGCCACCCGAUACUGUCGUGACUGGAGUCCGGUAGGGGAGUGGGGAAUUCCUGGUGUAGCGGUGAAAUGCGCAGAUAUCAGGAGGAACACCGGUGGCGAAGACGCCACUCUGGGCCGGUACUGACGCUGAGGAGCGAAAGCGUGGGUAGCAAACAGG
rnacentral:rRNA from 1 species